rnacentral:rRNA from 1 species
GACGAACGCUGGCGGCGUGCUUAACACAUGCAAGUCGAACGAAAAGGCCCGGCUGUUGUGGGCUGCUCGAGUGAGGGGCGGGUGAGUGAGACGUGCGUAACCUGCCCGUGACUUUGGGGGGACUAAAGGAAAGAAAGGCUAGUACCGGAUAGGAACGACUGCUUCAUGGUGGGGGGGAGAGAGGUUCGGCGGUUGGGGAAGGACGGGCGGCUCAGCAGCUGGGGGGUGGGGUAGGGGAGUACGAAGGCUGGGAAGGGGAGCCGGACUGGGAGGGUGACCGGCCACAUUGGGAUUGAGAUACGGCCCAGACUCCUACGGGCGGAAGCAGUGGGGAAUAUUGCACGAUGGGCGGAAGCCUGAUGCAGCAACGCCGCGUGCGGGAUGACGGCCUUCGGGUUGUAAACCGCUUCCGCCUGUGACGAAGCGUGAGUGACGGUAAUGGGUAAAGAAGCACCGGCUAACUACGUG